GCUAUACAUGCAAGUCGAACGAACUCUGGUAUUGAUUGGUGCUUGCAUCAUGAUUUACAUUUGAGUGAGUGGCGAACUGGUGAGUAACACGUGGGAAACCUGCCCAGAAGCGGGGGAUAACACCUGGAAACAGAUGCUAAUACCGCAUAACAACUUGGACCGCAUGGUCCGAGUUUGAAAGAUGGCUUCGGCUAUCACUUUUGGAUGGUCCCGCGGCGUAUUAGCUAGAUGGUGAGGUAACGGCUCACCAUGGCAAUGAUACGUAGCCGACCUGAGAGGGUAAUCGGCCACAUUGGGACUGAGACACGGCCCAAACUCCUACGGGAGGCAGCAGUAGGGAAUCUUCCACAAUGGACGAAAGUCUGAUGGAGCAACGCCGCGUGAGUGAAGAAGGGUUUCGGCUCGUAAAACUCUGUUGUUAAAGAAGAACAUAUCUGAGAGUAACUGUUCAGGUAUUGACGGUAUUUAACCAGAAAGCCACGGCUAACUACGUGCCAGCAGCCGCGGUAAUACGUAGGUGGCAAGCGUUGUCCGGAUUUAUUGGGCGUAAAGCGAGCGCAGGCGGUUUUUUAAGUCUGAUGUGAAAGCCUUCGGCUCAACCGAAGAAGUGCAUCGGAAACUGGGAAACUUGAGUGCAGAAGAGGACAGUGGAACUCCAUGUGUAGCGGUGAAAUGCGUAGAUAUAUGGAAGAACACCAGUGGCGAAGGCGGCUGUCUGGUCUGUAACUGACGCUGAGGCUCGAAAGUAUGGGUAGCAAACAGGAUUAGAUACCCUGGUAGUCCAUACCGUAAACGAUGAAUGCUAAGUGUUGGAGGGUUUCCGCCCUUCAGUGCUGCAGCUAACGCAUUAAGCAUUCCGCCUGGGGAGUACGGCCGCAAGGCUGAAACUCAAAGGAAUUGACGGGGGCCCGCACAAGCGGUGGAGCAUGUGGUUUAAUUCGAAGCUACGCGAAGAACCUUACCAGGUCUUGACAUACUAUGCAAAUCUAAGAGAUUAGACGUUCCCUUCGGGGACAUGGAUACAGGUGGUGCAUGGUUGUCGUCAGCUCGUGUCGUGAGAUGUUGGGUUAAGUCCCGCAACGAGCGCAACCCUUAUUAUCAGUUGCCAGCAUUAAGUUGGGCACUCUGGUGAGACUGCCGGUGACAAACCGGAGGAAGGUGGGGAUGACGUCAAAUCAUCAUGCCCCUUAUGACCUGGGCUACACACGUGCUACAAUGGAUGGUACAACGAGUUGCGAACUCGCGAGAGUAAGCUAAUCUCUUAAAGCCAUUCUCAGUUCGGAUUGUAGGCUGCAACUCGCCUACAUGAAGUCGGAAUCGCUAGUAAUCGCGGAUCAGCAUGCCGCGGUGAAUACGUUCCCGGGCCUUGUACACACCGCCCGUCACACCAUGAGAGUUUGUAACACCCAAAGUCGGUGGGGUAACCUUUUAGGAACCAGCCGCCUAAGGUGACAGAGAU
rnacentral:rRNA from 2 species